GAGAGCCGGAUGCGGGAAAUCUGCCAGUCCGGUUCGAUGAGCGGGGUGUGGAAACGGGGUUAAGGCAAGGCUAUUAGGACACCGUCAAACGAAAGGGACGGAAACAGCAAGCCAAACCUAAUGCUACCGCGCCACAUCUCGACUCUAC
rnacentral:ncRNA from 1 species